rnacentral:rRNA from 1 species
GACGUAGGGCGCGAGCGUUGUCCGGAUUUAUUGGGCGUAAAGAGCUCGUAGGCGGCUUGUCGCGUCGACUGUGAAAUCCCGCGGCUCAACUGCGGGUCUGCAGUCGAUACGGGCAGGCUAGAGUUCGGUAGGGGAGACUGGAAUUCCUGGUGUAGCGGUGAAAUGCGCAGAUAUCAGGAGGAACACCGGUGGCGAAGGCGGGGUCUCUGGGCCGAUAUCGACGCUGAGGAGCGAAAGCGUGGGGAGCGAACAGG